rnacentral:rRNA from 1 species
CCUACGGGGGGCAGCAGUGGGGAAUAUUGCGCAAUGGGCGAAAGCCUGACGCAGCGACGCCGCGUGAGGGAUGAAGGUCUUCGGAUCGUAAACCUCUGUCAGCAGGGAAGAACGGUCACUGUGCUAAUCAGCAGUGAAUUGACGGUACCUGCAAAGGAAGCACCGGCUAACUCCGUGCCAGCAGCCGCGGUAAUACGGAGGGUGCGAGCGUUAAUCGGAAUUACUGGGCGUAAAGCGCUCGUAGGCGGUAUGUCAAGUCAAGGGUGAAAUCCCCGCGCUCAACGUGGGAACUGCCUUUGAAACUGGCAAACUGGAGUGUGUGAGAGGAUAGUGAAAUUCCAGGUGUAGGAGUGAAAUGCGUAGAUAUCUGGAGGAACAUCAGUGGCGAAGGCGACUAUCUGGCACAUAACUGACGCUGAGGAGCGAAAGCGUGGGUAGCAAACAGGAUUAGAUACCCGAGUAGUC